GCGUGAUAAUUUGUCCUUUAAUUGUGGACUUGAACGAAUGGAUUAACGAGAGUUAAGCUGUCUCUAGAUUAAUAGUAGAAGUUAAUAUUAAGGUGAAAAAGCUUUAAUUUUUAUAUAGGACAAAAAGACCCUAUAGAGCUUUAAUUUUAUAGGUAUAAGUAUAAAAACUUAAUAGUAUUUAUUAUUUAAUAUUUAAAGAUUUUAACUGGGGCGGUUUAUGAAGAUUAAUAUCUUCUUAAUAAAAUUAAAAAUUUUUGGGUUGUUUUAUAAUAAGAUCCUUUAUAAGAUUGAUAGAAUAGCUACCUUAGGGGUAACAGACUAAUUUUUUUUGAGAGUUCGUAUUGACAAAAAAGUUUGGCACAUCGAUGUUGGCUUAAGGUAUCCAAAAAAUAGUAGAAGUUUUUAUGGUAGGUUUGUUCAACCUUUAAAAUCUU
rnacentral:rRNA from 1 species